AUUUUGUGGCUCAAUUGGUAGAGCAUGGCACUAGCAACACCAAGGUUCUGGGUUCAAUUCCUCUAUAACACA